CAGACACUCGGUAAAAAUAACUGUAGUUGGUUACAAGUGGUCAGAGAAGCAGAAGAAGAGGCCAAAUGAAAUUGAAGGUUCCUCUCUGAAUGCAAGCCUCCCUCACGGUCAACAUCCAGGUUCCUCUCAGAAUGUAAGCCUCCAUCGUGGUCACCAUUCAUCCUCCAGCCAAGGGAGAAGAGUUGAUCCAACAGCCAGUCACCAUAGCUCUCCUGUGGAUGAAUGGAUCGAGCGGUGGUCAGGAGAUUGGUAAGCAUAUCAGUCGGCCCUGACAGGAUACACGAGACAGAAAAGUAGUUGAUGGCAACUGGCAAAGACAAUACUUUUACCUCAAACCUGGCAUUAUGCAUAUGCUGUA